CACGUAGGGCGCGAGCGUUUGUCCGGAAUUAUUGGGCGUAAAGGGCGCGUAGGCGGCCACGCACGUCCGUUGUGAAAUCGCCCGGCUCAACUGGGCGGGGUCAGCGGAUACGGUGUGGCUCGAGCAAGCUAGGGGGCAAUGGAAUUCCCGGUGUAGUGGUGGAAUGCGCAGAUAUCGGGGAAGAACACCCGUGGCGAAGGCGGCUCUCUGGGACGGUACUGACGCGUGAGACGCGAAAAGCGUGGGGAGCCGAACGAGG
rnacentral:rRNA from 1 species